AAAAAAGUGUUUUUUUUUCCCAAAAAACGAGGCAGAGGCGGUGACCCCCCCUCCAAAAAGCUCAAGAGCCAGCGGGGAGGGGGAUUUUUUUGGGGGUGGGGGCAAGAUUUGGGGUUUGGGGCAAGAUUUUCGCUUGGCGGGCACGGUUUUGGGGACAAAUGCAAUAUUUUUGGGGUUGGGGGCAAGAUUUUGGGGGAUAGGGGCAAGAUUUUGGGGUUGGGGGCAAGGUUUUGGGGCAAAAUUUUGGGGUUUUGGGGCAAGAUUUUCGCUUGGCGGGCAAGAUUUUGGGGACAAAUGCAAUAUUUUGGGGGUUGGGGCAAGAUUUUCGCUUGGCGGGCACGGUUUUGGGGACAAAUGCAAUAUUUUUGGGGUUGGGGGCAAGAUUUUGGGGGAUAGGGGCAAGAUUUUGGGGUUGGGGGCAAGGUUUUGGGGCAAAAUUUUGGGGUUUUGGGGCAAGAUUUUUGCUUGGCGGGCACGGUUUUGGGGACAAAUGCAAUAUUUUAGGGUUUUGGGGCAAGACUUUGGGGGGUUUGGGG
rnacentral:lncRNA from 1 species